rnacentral:rRNA from 1 species
CGGGAAUAUUGGUCAAUGGGGGAAACCCUGAACCAGCAAUGCCGCGUGAGUGACGAAGGUUUUCGGAUCGUAAAGCUCUGUCCUUGGGGAAGAUAAUGACGGUACCCAAGAAGAAAGCCACGGCUAACUACGUGCCAGCAGCCGCGGUAAUACGUAGGUGGCAAGCGUUGUCCGGAAUUAUUGGGCGUAAAGGGCGAGUAGGCGGCCAGUUAUGUCAGAUGUGAAAGGCUAGGGCUCAACCCUAACAUGGCAUUUGAAACUGAUUGGCUUGAGAGUAGGAGAGGGAAGUGGAAUUCCUAAUGUAGCGGUGAAAUGCGUAGAUAUUAGGAGGAACACCAGUGGCGAAGGCGACUUCCUGGCCUACAACUGACGCUGAUGCGCGAAAGCGUGGGGAGCAAAC